GGAUCCGUAGCUCAGUUGGUUAGAGCGCACGAUUCACAUUCGUGAGGUCAGCUGUUCGAGUCAGCUCGGGUCCA
rfam:Microgenomates bacterium 39_7 MPI_scaffold_1194, whole genome shotgun sequence.